UUCGCUGGUUAGUGUUUGUUAUUGUGGGGAGUCGGAUAUAAGUCCAUGUAUUGGCAUUCUGUUUCCUUUUCUUUGUUAUUGUUGGGAGUCGGAUAUAAGUCCAUGUAUUGGCAUUCUGUUUCCUUUUGGGUGUUUCUUUUGACGUCUCAGCGUCCCUAUUGGUGUCUUGUUUCAGCGUGUGUUAGCCGAGCUACGAGUGCUCUAAUUCUUCUCUGGAUAGAGAAGAUACGUAGGCAUAAG
rnacentral:lncRNA from 1 species